CUAUACGGGAGGCNGCAAUGGGGAAUAUUGCUCAAUGGGGGAAACCCUGAUGCAGCCAUGCCGCGUGUGUGAAGAAGGCCUUCGGGUUGUAAAGCACUUUCAGUUGUGAGGAAAAGUUAGUAGUUAAUACCUGCUAGCCGUGACGUUUACAACAGAAGAAGCACCGGCUAACUCCGUGCCCGCAGCCGCGGUAAUACGGAGGGGGCCAGCGUUAAUCGGAAUUACUGGGCGUAAAGCGCACCCAGGCGGUUUGUUACGCUCCAUGUGAAAGCCCCGGGCUCAACCUGGGAUGGUCAUUUAGAACUGGCAUACAAAAGUCUUGGAGAGGGGAGUGGAAUUCCCGGAGUAACGGUGAAAUGCGUAGAUAUCUGGAGGAACAAUCAGGGGGAAAGGGAACUCCCUGGGCAAAGACUGACUCUCUUGUGCGAAAGUGUGGGUAGCGCAAAGGAUUUAAUACCCCGGUAGUCCCACCCCCCAAACGCUGUCCACCAACUGGGGGGGGCCUUA
rnacentral:rRNA from 1 species